GACAGAGGGUGCAAACGUUGUUCGGAUUUACUGGGCGUAAAGCGUGUGUAGGCGGCUUCGCAAGUUGGAUGUGAAAUCCCCGGGCUCAACCCGGGAACUGCGUCCGAUACUGGAAGGCUUGAAUCCGGGAGAGGGAUGCGGAAUUCCUGGUGUAGCGGUGAAAUGCGCAGAUAUCAGGAGGAACACCGGUGGCGAAGGCGGGUCUCUGGGCCGAUACUGACGCUGAGGAGCGAAAGCGUGGGGAGCAGACAGG
rnacentral:rRNA from 1 species